AUCCCGGAAACAAUGAUGCUGUGAUUUCCAAGCACAUAUCUGAUGAGUCCGUGUGGAAUUUAGCUACUGAGUUUCCUGGGC